rnacentral:rRNA from 1 species
CAUAGCGGCGAAUGGGUGAGUAACACGUACUCAACGUACCUUUUAGAUUGGGAUAGCGGAUGGAAACAUCCGAUAAUACCGAAUACUUAUUAUUUUUGCAUGAAAGUAAUAUAAAAGGAAGCGUUUGCUUCGCUAAAAGAUCGGAGUGCGCAACAUUAGCUAGUUGGUGAGGUAACGGCCCACCAAGGCGAUGAUGUUUAGCGGGGUUGAGAGAUUGAUCCGCCACACUGGGACUGAGAUACGGCCCAGACUCCUACGGGAGGCAGCAGUAGGGAAUAUUCCACAAUGGACGAAAGUCUGAUGGAGCGACACAGCGUGCAGGAUGAAGGCCCUA